CGGAGAAGAAAGCAUUUAGAAUUAACAUCAACAUCCAGCUGAUCACUGAAAAUUCACCACAUUCUUUCUGUUUCCAAAAACAGCUCAGCAGCUGCUUCUUUAUGCCAGUAAACCCCAGAAGAAAAAGGUUGUUCAGGCAUGUCAGCGCUGUGAGAAAUGUUGGAAAUGCUGCUUUUAUACGUCACAUUUCUAUUAGGAAUUAAACAAACACUUCAGUCCUUCUUUCACUGAAAAAACUCAUGCGCUCCAUCUUAUUGAGAGACAGUUCAGCUGCUCAAGUGUGGCUGUAUUCAGUGUACAGUUCCAUAUCAUAACUUGCAUUUUUUCCUUUUUUCAGAAUUGCUCAUCAGCCUCUCUGUCUGUGGAAGUAAAUCCUCCAAGCAAAAGGAAGGUCAUCGCUAUAAUCUGGGCCGGAUUGGACCCACUGGAGGACCACUUUUGGACCACGGGCCUCAUGUUGGACCCUCUGGAGGACCACUUUUGGACCACGGGCCUCAUGUUGGACCCUCUGGAGGACCACUUUUGGACCACGGGCCUCAUGUUGGACCCUCUGGAGGACCACUUUUGGACCACGGGCCUCAUGUUGGACCCUCUGGAGGACCACUUUUGGACCACGGGCCUCAUGUUGGACCCUCUGGAGGACCACUUUUGGACCACGGGCCUCAUGUUGGACACCCCUGCUCUGGACUAAAAUGACAUCUCUGACUUGUUUCAACAUCUUUCAUCCACUCAGUCUGUGGACAGGUGAACAAGAAUGAAAGGCCUGGAGCUAGCAGGAGAGAGAAAAAACACGAGAAAUCAAUUUAGCCGACAGAGAGACUAAUCCAGCGUAGAACUCAGAGUGACACUCCUGCAACAACCGAGUAAUUUCAAACUUUAAGAAGUUAAGAAGUCGUGUGUUUUUUUGCCUCUUAGAUGAUGUUUUACUUUGAUUAUCAGCUUUUUCCCUCCCCUGGUAGGCACACAGCCUCAGUACAGGUAUUAAAAGCCUCAUAUUUUCCGUGACCUUUUCUCAUUUUUAGCUCAAUCAAUCGUGGGGAUAACAGCAAGCAGAGAUCGCCGGGAACAACCAAGAGCGAGGUGGUCAGCACACAGAAUCUAAUACUCUGUAGGUAGCUUAGACCUUUUUAAGCUACAAAAGCUCUCAGUGGACCUGGGUUAUUGACAUUAAAUGCAUCUGAAGCACCUCACAGCAGGAAGAACAGCAGCUGCUGAGCAGGAGAGGGGAAAGGAGAAGACCUCUGGCGAUAGUGGAGUCAGGGUCUCCCAAAAUCCUAUCAGGCAGCAGCACUUAACACAUGAUGGGGAGGUUAAAGGAACGCACGCUCUUAGCUCUUUACCAAAGCAAAACAAAACAGAAAAUCUGAUUUCAGAGAUAACAAAAGGGGAUUUAAGCGCGCUCGCCUUGCAUAGCUCCUUCUGAUCUCCAGCAGGGAAGUUUUAUUUUUACCAACACAGCUUUUUGAUGUAAUCUUCAUGAAUGCAUCAAAGCAUGAGGAGAUCACAGCGUUUCAUCCGCAGUGUUGGAGCAAAGUGAACGAGACAUUACAAGUGUAGCAGAGGAAGGAUUUGCUUUAGAUUAAGCCACCGUCGUUAACGUUGGAUUUUACUGAAACAAAACCAAAGCGUCUUUUUAAACCCUCAUCCAGGACGGAUCAGCUGGGGAGAGAACAAACCACUAUAAGAAACAAACAUUACAGCAGAAUGUCAGCUAAUUUCUUUGGUCCUUAGUGCAAUUAAGAACUCAUUCAUUCUGGUAGCAUUUUGUUUUCAGUCAUUUGAAGUAAAUGUCGUUUGUGUUAUAUUUAUGAGCCAACUGAUCUGUUUGCCGAAUAAAAACACUAUAUUCAUCCCAAACUAUAUUACAGAAACAUAUUGUAGAUUUACCACAGCCAAAGACAUGCUGAAGCUCUGAAAAACACAUCAGACCUGCUCAGAUCUCCCUCUGAAAACGUAAAGCAACGCAUGUCAGAUUAAACAUGCAGUUUCAGCCUGAAUGAGCAUCAUUUAGUGGCUUAUUCAGAACAUGCUGUGAUCGCUAAACCACACAUGUAAGGAAAUGAAAUCAGUGUUUUUAUACUGCACAGGGAGACGCCUUCAUAUUGUGGUAAAUUAUUCCACAUUUGGAGCCUAAUAAUGCAUUCAUAAAGAACUACAAUGAACCACGUUUUGUCUGGUGGACAAACAGCUCACUAAAAAUAUGCUGGCUUCCAUUUUUCUCUUUAUUCCACCACUGAACAAUGAAACAUUCAGUCAAUAGCCAGACGGACUGACAGAAGAAUUAAUGCACUGCUAUUUUCUUUUUUAUAUGUAACUGAGCAACAGCUAAAAUAAAUUCUCCACACAUUUUCUUAUUCCAGGAUUUUUCUGCUUUUCUUCCAGUAAUCUGACAGAAACCUGAAUAUACUGUGGGCUGAAAAACAAACUGUGAGAUGAUAAAUUUGGGAUUAGAAGCAUUUCUAUUGUAAUUUCUGAUAUUUAGACAAUCUGUUACGCCUAAUCUACUAAAAUAUACUGAUGCAUAUUUUGGUAUAUUGCUAUUUUUAUACAAAAUUCCUUAAAUCUGUGCUCUAUCUUUGCUGCUGUGAAACUUUAAAAUUAUCUUGUGUGGGAUGAACAACAGCUUAUCUCUGAGGAGUCAAACUCAUUUUAGUCCAGGUUCCACAUUCAGCCCGGUUUGAUCUCCAGUAAAACCACAGCAUAAUAACCGAUAAAUAACCACAACUCCUGACGGUUCCUUUGUUUUAGUGCAAAAAUGUUCACAUUUAAGAAUUAUCUUUCUGCAAAAUUUUAUGAACCUCAAAUUUCUGAAGAAAAACAAGUUUAAUUUCAUCAACGUUCAGCCUCAGUUUAUCAUUUCCACAUUACAACUUCCAGAUCACAGAGUGUCUUUAAAGGAACACAACAUUUAGUCACAGCUAUCUGGAACUUAAUAAUGAUAGUAUUUUACUUUAAAAAUGUAAAAAAAAACAAACAAAGUAAGACAAAAUAUUACAAAAAUGACACAAAAACAACAAAAGCGAGAAACAAAGCGACAAAAAAAUGACACGAAACAAAAAAAGAGACAAAAAAAUUAGACAGAAAAAUGACAAAACCGUGAAACAAAACGACUA